rnacentral:rRNA from 1 species
UACGUAGGCAGCAAGCGUUGUUCGGAGUUACUGGGCGUAAAGGGUGCGUAGGCGGCUUUUUAAGUUUGGUGUGAAAUCUCCCGGCUCAACUGGGAGGGUGCGCCGAAUACUGAGAGGCUAGAGUGUGGGAGAGGAAAGUGGAAUUCCUGGUGUAGCGGUGAAAUGCGUAGAUAUCAGGAGGAACACCGGUAGUGUAAACGGCUUUCUGGACCAUAACUGACGCUGAGGCACGAAAGCGUGGGUAGCAAACAGG